rnacentral:rRNA from 1 species
UACGGGGGGGGCAAGCGUUGUUCGGAAUUACUGGGCGUAAAGGGUGCGUAGGCGGUUUGCUAAGUUGGAUGUGAAAACUCUGGGCUUAACCCAGAGCCUGCAUUCAAAACUGACAAGCUAGAGUUCUGGAGGGGGUAGCGGAAUUCCUGGUGUAGCGGUGAAAUGCGUAGAUAUGUGGAGGAAUACCGAUGGCGAAGGCAGCCCCCUGGGAUGACACUGACGCUCAUGCACGAAAGCGUGGGGAGCAAACAGG